rnacentral:misc_RNA from 4 species
CAACCCUCAAGCUCAGCUUGGUGUUGGGACUCGCGGUAACCCGCGUUCCCCAAAUCGAUUGGCGGUCACGUCGAGCUUCCAUAGCGUAGUAAUCAUACACCUCGUUACUGGUAAUCGUCGCGGCCACGCCGUAAAACCCCAACUUCUGAA